rnacentral:rRNA from 1 species
CCUUUGUACACACCGCCCGUCGCUACUACCGAUUGAAUGGCUCAGUGAGGCCUUCGGACUGGCCCAGGGAGGUCGGCAACGACCACCCAGGGCCGGAAAGUUCGUCAAACUUGGUCAUUUAGAGGAAGUAAAAGUCGUAACAAGGUCUCCGUAGGUGAACCUGCGGAGGGAUCAUUA